rfam:Triticum aestivum genome assembly, contig: Triticum_aestivum_CS42_TGACv1_scaffold_487186_6AS
UAAAUAUUCCUACCGUCCGGAAAUACUUGUUCUAAAAAUGGUUGAAAAUGGAUGUAUCUAUAACUAAAAUAAGUUUAGAUACAAGCAUUUCUAAGGCAAGUAUUUAAGGACGGAAGGAGUAGAAG